ensembl:processed_transcript RIKEN cDNA 2410003L11 gene
UGAUGGCUGCUGUCCGUCUCCUCGAUGGCUGCUGCUCCAGAGCCACGCUUGCCUGUUUCCAUGCUCCUCCACACGAUGGUCACAGACUCUGCUGCCCUCCGGAAUCAUGAGCCCCAGACUAAAUGCUUUCUUACAUAUGCUCACGUGAUCUGAAACCCGCUGCUGUGAAGACAGAAGGAAAUGGUCCUGUCAGGAGAACAAGCCCCUGCAGUUCCCUGAGGCUGGCACAAUGGAGGAAGGUUCCUCUCCACUGAGUUCCUACCUCAGCUGCCCUCCGUGAUGUGAUGGACUGUGAUCCCCACACCGCACCCAAGGUCCAGCAGGUGCUUGCAGACAGUGACAUCUUGUGGGAAAGCUCAGGAACUGCACUGUGGCAAAUCGCCGCUCUUUUGACUGUGGGGUCCCUGGAAUACCCAGUUGACAUCAAGCAAGCAUUCAUUCACUGCCUUCUGUGAACAAGGAACUGAUCCAAGUCCUGGAAUAAAGAAAGCAAGAGAGACUGGAUGGCUACACGGGGGAGUGAAAAAAAUCAUCGUUACUGCUCAACUUUAAAAUUGUGUGUCUGUGUG